rnacentral:rRNA from 1 species
ACGGAAGGCAGCAGUGGGGAAUAUUGGGCUAUGGGCGAAAGCCUGACCCAGCAACGCCGCGUGAAGGAAGAAGGUCUUCGGAUUGUAAACUUCUUUUAUCAGGGACGAAGGAAGUGACGGUACCUGAUGAAUAAGCCACGGCUAACUACGUGCCAGCAGCCGCGGUAAUACGUAGGUGGCAAGCGUUAUCCGGAUUUACUGGGUGUAAAGGGCGCGUAGGCGGGGAUGCAAGUCAGAUGUGAAAUCUAUGGGCUUAACUCAUAAACUGCAUUUGAAACUGCAUCUCUUGAGUGUCGGAGAGGUAGAUGGAAUUCCUAGUGUAGCGGUGAAAUGCGUAGAUAUUAGGAGGAACACCAGUGGCGAAGGCGAUCUACUGGACGAUAACUGACGCUGAGGCACGAAAGCAUGGGUAGCAAACAGGAUUAGAUACCCUGGUA